GUGUAAGAAAUUACAAAAGUAUUAAUUUGGGGAACUAAUAAAUGUCCAUGAAAUCUUCACAAUUUAUAUUCUUCUGCCACAGCUUCAGCCGGUCCCUCCGUUCGGGGUCCCUGACUUCCCGCAACAGUGCAGAAUAUGAACAAUGCCAUGUUCUUGCAGAAAACGCUUAGCCUGAGUUGCAUAGGAGGACCUCUAAUUUCUGCCAGUUACUUCAUUCAUUUGUUCUCUUCACCACGAAUCUCCAGAGGAUGCUUCCUUUGUCCACGCCUCCCCAUCUUCCAGCAAUUCUGCAUUUCCAAGAUUGGCACCUCCGGUCCUCUGCACGGUGAAGCCCCUUCCUUUUGAUUCCCCAGUAGCCAGUGCUUUAAUCCACCAGGUCUCAGGCAUGAUCUGUGUUUCUCCACACUCACUUUCAGAGGAUAGUUUUGCCUGUGUUCUGUCAUGAACAGCCCCUCCCUGCUGUCCUGGCCUCUAUUUGCAUAGUGUUUCCUGCUCCCUCUGCCGUUGUGUGGCUCCCAGACCCGGCUAAAUAAAAUCACCUGAGGGCCACGGUGUUCCCUAGCCCUGGUGUUUAGGGGCAGGAUUAUGGGUGAGAUUUUUGAUUCUCUAAGUUAACCCCUAGGGCUUUGAAGUGUAUGUUGAGAAAUUCAGCUGUUAUCAUCCUAGGUGGCCUUGCUCUCUCCUAUCCUCCUACUUCAAAUGCAGAACUUCAAUUGUGUACAAAAGAAGACUGAAUCAUAUAAUAGAACACACCCUUAUUCAUUGACUGGCUUCAUCAUGGCUGAACUUUUAAAAAUACAAUCUUAGCCACAUACCUAUGAAAUGCAUAUGUGUGUGUGUAUAUAUAUAUGAAUUUGCUUCUGAGAUUAUGGAGGCUGAAAUUCCCAAGAUGGAAGGAAAGCUGGAUACCCAGGAAAGCAUUUUUUUCCCAUUAGGCCUCUUAAUUCUCUCCUGGCCUUUGAUUGAUUGUAUGAGUCCCACCCCCAUUAAGGAGGACAAUCUGCUUCACUUAGUCUGCCCACCCCAAUGUUACUCGUAUCCGAAACACUCUCUGGAACACAACCAGAAUCAUGUUUGGCCAAAUGUCCCGGCACCUGGUGCUUGGUUACAGUGACACGUACAAGUAACUAUCACACAUGCCCUUUGUCAUAUUUGUGAUUUCCACUGUUUUUCUCCCAAUCUGCAGCUUAUAUUUGUUCUCUUAAUACUACCUUGUGUUGACCAAAAACUUUUAAUUUUUAUAAAGUUGAAUUUAUCAAUGUUUUCUUUAA